UUUCCAGUGUUUCCUUCUGGCGAUGUAAAUAUGAACCAGCUGGACAUGUUAGCAGAGCCUGUCUGUUUUUCUGCGUGGAGCCACAAAGAUUCUGCUUAGCCGAGCACAUGUCAAGGAAGGACCAUCGAGGGACACAGACAACAGAGGACAGCUCUUGUCAGGACUAAAUGAGAGAAGACACGCAGAGCACUUGGCACGACACGUUGAACAAACCAAGAAUCCGUAAGGGGUAGCCAUUCGGGAAUCGAAGCCUUGUCUUCUUUCUGGUUGCUGUUCUUGAAGGAUCAGAUGGUGGUGGUGAGCACGACAGUGGGCUUCGACAGUCAGGUAGACUCGGCCACUGACUCUCUAGAUCAACUGAGUUGCAAUCUGCAUCGUAACACAAUAAAGUUGGAGAAGCACGCCUCUAGUAAGGUGCCCUUCAACUUGGCUAUGCCAAGCGUGGUCUAGGAACCAGCAGCAUGGGCGUCAGCUAGAAGCCAGUUAAAAAAGGCAGCUUCUGGGGCCCUAGGCUGGACCCAUUUAUUUGAGUCUCCGGGGCUGAGCCUGGCAAUCUGCAUGUUUCUGGCUGUGCAUUGACUGUAUUCGUCACAGUGCCUUCCACGCGGUAAGCAUCAAUACACGACCCCAUAACAUCUGCUU